GUGGCGAACGGGUGAGUAACACGUGAGUAACCUGCCCUUGACUCUGGGAUAAGCGUUGGAAACGACGUCUAAUACCGGAUACGAGCUGGGACCGCAUGGUCACCAGCUGGAAAGAACUUCGGUCAAGGAUGGACUCGCGGCCUAUCAGCUAGUUGGUGAGGUAACGGCUCACCAAGGCGACGACGGGUAGCCGGCCUGAGAGGGUGACCGGCCACACUGGGACUGAGACACGGCCCAGACUCCUACGGGAGGCAGCAGUGGGGAAUAUUGUACAAUGGGCGCAAGCCUGAUGCAGCAACGCCGCGUGAGGGACGACGGCCUUCGGGUUGUAAACCUCUUUUAGCAGGGAAGAAGCGAAAGUGACGGUACCUGCAGAAAAAGCACCGGCUAACUACGUGCCAGCAGCCGCGGUAAUACGUAGGGUGCAAGCGUUGUCCGGAAUUAUUGGGCGUAAAGAGCUCGUAGGCGGUCUGUCGCGUCUGCUGUGAAAACCCGAGGCUCAACCUCGGGCCUGCAGUGGGUACGGGCAGACUAGAGUGCGGUAGGGGAGAUUGGAAUUCCUGGUGUAGCGGUGGAAUGCGCAGAUAUCAGGAGGAACACCGAUGGCGAAGGCAGAUCUCUGGGCCGUAACUGACGCUGAGGAGCGAAAGCGUGGGGAGCGAACAGGAUUAGAUACCCUGGUAGUCCAC
rnacentral:rRNA from 1 species